rnacentral:lncRNA from 1 species
AGGCAAUUUGAUAUCAUAAUAGAGCACUGCAGACACAAUGCUGAGUGAAGAGGAGUAGAAAUGGGAAGACUUGGUUGAGCAGAAACUGAAUUCUUGAAAAGAGGAGAUGCUCGAUGAGGGCAUAGCUCACUAAGGUCUGUUCCCAAUACGAGAAGACUAUUUGACAUCAUAAUAAAACACUGCAGAUAUGAUGCUGAGUGAAAAAGAGUAGAAAUGGGAAGACUUGGUUGUGCAGAAACUGAGUUCUUAAAGAGAGGAGAUACUUUAUGAGGGUGAGUGGAUAACCUCUCAGUUUAAUAGCCAAUGGAAACCAAAAGCAAAUGACUAAGAGUGGAGUAUGUUUACACAAAUUGAGCAAAAUG